GAUGAACGCUAGCGGCAGGCUUAAUACAUGCAAGUCGUGGGGCAGCAGGGGUAGCAAUACCCGCUGGCGACCGGCAAACGGGUGAGGAACAUGUACGCAACCUUCCUUUAACUGGAGAAUAGCCCCUCGAAAGAGGGAUUAAUACUCCGUAACAUAAUGAAGUGACAUCACUUUAUUAUUAUAGCUCCGGCGGUUAAAGAUGGGCGUGCACCUGAUUAGAUAGUUGGCGGGUAACGGCCCACCAAGUCUGCGAUCAGUAACUGGUGUGAGAGCACGACCAGUCACACGGGCACUGAGACACGGGUCCGACUCCUACGGGAGGCAGCAGUAAGGAAUAUUGGUCAAUGGGCGAGAGCCUGAACCAGCCAAGUAGCGUGCAGGACGACGGCCCUAUGGGUUGUAAACUGCUUUUAUAAGGGAAUAAAGUGGGUCACGUGUGACUUUUUGCAUGUACCUUAUGAAUAAGGACCGGCUAAUUCCGUG
rnacentral:rRNA from 1 species